rnacentral:tRNA from 1 species
GCUGCUGGUGCAGGGGUUGCUGCAGGUGCUGGCGCUGCUUGUGGUGCAGCAACAUAUUGUACUGCCGCAGGUGCAACUGCUGGUGCUGCAC